rnacentral:lncRNA from 10 species
GUGUUUGACUUCAACCAGAGUUGAAGAUCCCCCAUCUGCAAUACUGCUGCACCCCCACCUCAAGCCCCAGCUGAUUGAACCCCAGGUGGAUUCCUGAUUCAGGCAAUCCACAGGCUGGGCUGAAGCAAUCAUGAUGUCUCUCUAAGGAAUAUUAAUUAAAAGCCACAGAGACCCCAGUCAGUUUUAAGGAGGUGUGCCGCCAGAAACCAGGGUCAGCACCAUACCAAACCAAAGUUAUGGAGGAGUAAAAACCAAAAGUCUUGCAGAAGCAGCAGAUUUGGAGACAAAAAAAGCAGAACCCACAUGCAGAAAGAAAAGAGAGGCACCACGUGACCCUUGAGACAAAGUGACAGACAUUCCAGUGCUGCCAGACAGAUUUCCAGUAUCUGUGAGGUCCUGCUGUGCACCAGAGAAGAGAGUUCUGGGAAAACCCCUGCUAUGGGUUGAACUGUAUUCCCCAAACAUUCAUAUGUUGGAGCCUUAACCUCCAGGACCUUAGAAUGGGACCUUACUUGGAAAUAGAGUCAUUGCAGAUGUAAUUAGUUAAGCUGAGUUCCUACUGGAGUAGGGUGGGCCCCUAAUCCAAUAUAUUGUUGUCCUUAUAAAAAGGGGAAGUCUGGAGAAUAGUUAUCCUUCCAAGAUAAACUAUUUGCCAAAUAUGUAACAGAGUAACCAGCCAUUUCCAUAUGGGAUUUCUAGUCAUUUCCCAGUUAAAAAUUAAGGAAUAGGUACACGCAGUAAGAGCACUCAGUGAAGAUGAGGGCAGAGAUCAAGAUGCCACAUCUACAAACCAAGGAACACCAAAGAUUGCCAGAAACUAUCAGAAGCUAGGGGAAAGGCAUGGAACAGUUACUUCUUCACAGCCGUCAGAAGGAACCAACCCUGUUGACACCCGGACCUCAGACGUGAAGCCUCCAGAACCGUGUGGAGUGGCCAUAUAUAAAACCUGACUGUUACUCACAUAAAAUAUUGGCCUGAAACUCUCAGACUUCGAAGCAAGUAGCAGAUUUGGAUGGAAUACACCACAAAUUAAUAAAGCCAUAAUCUAGAGAAGUGGAUGCUGUAGUGUGCCACUCAGAAUACUUUCAGGACUGAGAUACUCAUUCCUCUAGUAGCCAGGAGCAAAACUACAUGCCCUCCAAAAGUUACCCUUGGAUGAAUGGAGCUGCCUUGACCCUUCCCUAGGGGAAGCCCCUGAAUGUCAGCAUUUCUAGAAAAGACUCAAUCAACUACUUGGCAGCAAUUUGACUUCAUUGGACCCCUUCAACUUUCAAAGAGGUGGUAGCCCUUCUUGACUAAGACCAAAACACAUUCCAAAUAUGGACUGUCUUUCCUGCCCACCAGGUCUUGGCCGGUACCCGUCUACAAGAACUUAAAUAGUAUUUGACCCACUGACAUAAGAAUCCACCUUAACACUGCAUUGGAUGAAGAGACUCAUUUUAGAGCAGAGUGGGUAUAGCAUUGAGCAUAUGACCAUGGGAAUAAUUGUCCCCCAUUACAAAGCACACCACCAGAAAUGUUCAGGCUGAAAGUGCAAUGGGACAGUCUUUGAAGGCAUAGGUAAGACAUCACCUUGAAGAUGCCUGUGAGGAUGAGGCACCAUCAUUGAGGACACAGCAUGUGCCCUAAAGCAAUGACUAUUUCAUGGUCAUGAGUCCCCAGCUACUUAAAACACAUGAACCCUAGAAGUAAAGUGUGGCAGUAGGAGUGGCCCUACUUACGUCACUCCCAUGACCCACUUAGAGAAUUUGUGUGUCUCAUCCCUACAGAUUUGGACUGUGCCAGUGUAGAAGUUCUGGUUCCAAGAGGAUGAAUGUUUUCACAGGGGAAUACAGUAAAUUAUGCCUCUUACCGGUCACUUCAGGAUCCAUGUGCCAAGUAAUCAGAACCAAGGAAAGGGUCACAGUGACAGGUGUAAUUGAUCCUGAACAUCACAAAGAAGUAACUGCUCAUGUCAGCAGGAGGAAGACAUUUGGUUCUGGACUUUGACUUGGGACUCCCCUUGCCAAAUGUUGAUGGUAAAUGGACAAAAGCAACAGCCACAUCCUAAGAAAAGCGUGAUGACCAGGAACUCAAAUCUCUAAGAAAGAAGAGUCUAGGCUGUCCACAAGUAAGCCACCAGACCAGCAGAAGUACUAGCUGAGAGUUAAAACAUCUAGAAUGGAUAACAGAGGAGGGAGAAGUCUUCUCAUUCACCGACUGAAGCCUGCCCUGCAUCCAGAGAGCCCACUUAAAGAGACUCUGCAGCUAAGUUUCAAUUCCCGGGAUGGCAAAAAGACUUACUAUAAAAUUAAUUUUCAAAGACAUAUUUAGAAUCCUCUAUUUUCCUAUUCCAGAUGUAAAUUUUAAGAGAUGGUUUGAAGAAAAGGAUCCUUAAUAACGCAGUGAAAUGAAAGGAAGUUACUGCCAACAAGAGACUGUAGUUCAUGUAAAAUAUGUCCCACAUGGGUGUCCAGGGGAAAAGCUAUAGCAGUACAAGCAGUUAUUCUCCUCCUCUGAAAAGUUAUAAAAACAAAGCCAAACAAAAUAACAACAGCAAAACAGUCCACAAACAAAUCAAUGUC